rnacentral:rRNA from 1 species
GAAACGGAUGCUAAUACCCCAUAGGUGGAUUGGUCGCAUGACGAAUUCAUUAAAGGUGGCUUUGCUACCACUCAUGGAUAGCCUCGCGGCGUAUUAGCUAGUUGGUAAGGUAAUGGCUUACCAAGGCAGUGAUACGUAGCCGACUUGAGAGGGUGAUCGGCCACACUGGGACUGAGACACGGCCCAG